UAAUGUUUUGCUUACUCUUAUUUGGCUUUUAAAUGAACAGCAUUAGCCUCUCUGCUGCCCCCACCAGGUCUGGAGCAUUAUGGUGUUUACGUUAUGUUACAGACUGUACAGUAUACAUCUACAUUUAUUCAUUUAGCUGACGCACAUUGGUGUCUCACAGUGGAUUCAAACCCGGGUCUCUCACACCAAAGGCAUGUGUCUUAUCCACUGCGCUAACACCACCCCAUAAACUGCACAAGGGCCUAUUCCAAUACCUAAACUUGUGCCACUUGAGGGAAUUAAGAGCACAAGACUGUCCUAGGACUGCUAAAUGUCUAAACCCAUACUAUAGGUGCAUCUGGAUUUUAUGCAGAAUUAUUGUAUAAACAGUGUUGUUCACACUGAAAAUUCCAAAAAGCAAAAGGAAACGGAUGAUGCACUUAAAUAACUGAGAAAAGUUAAGUGUGGAAUGUGGGACACUUCUUGCACUUAACGGUCAUAGCUUUAAUUAUGAAGCAGAGGGGAAGGAGCUAACAGAUUCUGAUUAUUAAUGACAAUAUAACCUUAUUAAAUUCACACAGUACACAGUUAAGUACAUAGUGCUUAAAUUCUUAAUGCAUACAUGCAUAGUGUAUAAUAUGCCAUUUGGGACACAAUUUAUCUCUUAUACACUGUUAGAAAAAGAGGUACAAUAGAGGUCCAUUUUUGUUCCCUAAGGUACAAACUUUGCAUAUGUACCCUUAAAAGUACAAAAAUGUAUCUUUAAGGUACAAUUGUGCACCUUUAAGGUACAAUUAUGCACCUUCCAUUGUACAUUGUGAGCUUUUCGAGGUGUAAGGUACAUAUUUGUCCCUUACAUAUUUGUACCUUAAUGUUUAAAUAUAAAAUGGCAGGAAUUAGUGGAUGCUGAAAAUGUCAUCUCUCAAUAUAGAAACACAAGUUAACCUAUACUAUCAAACUCAAUAAUGUCAAACUAAAUUAACUGUGAAGUUUUGAGAUAUGGGCAAAAUAAAUCAGAAUGUGUAAAGUUUUGAGAUAUGGGCAAAAUAAAUCAGAAUGUUUUUUUUUUUUUUUUUUUUUUUGUGAAGUGUCCCUUUGAAUCAUUUUUAAUCAUGUUAAUGAGGAUUAUGUAAUAAUUUAUAUUCACAAACAGUAUUGAAGAAUUUGAUUUUCAAACCAUUUACCCUAUUUAUAUUAGAAUAAAACAGACAAAUAAUUGUUAAUGCUUUAAGUUGUGUUCUAUUGAAAGGAUCUAGCUACAGGCUAACCAGAGUUUGACUCGGCGGAAGCAUAAAUAUUGCAGCGCGGAAGGAUACAUGAGUGAAUCGACAGUGAUCCAACUGUCAGUCUCUGUCAGUGUCGAUCAAAGGUGGGAGGAUGGCCCUUCGACAUUUAUCAACGGAGGAUUUAAUCACGGAAUUAUUUAUUUUGGGGAUAGAGGUCACUGAAGAGGAGAAAAGUAAAUUCAAAGAUAAUGAUGUUGAUGGAGAAGCAGUGGACUCUGGAUUGACUGAGAGGAUGAUUUCAUGCCUCUUUGAAGGGUCGUUUAAGAAGCAAGCCAAAUUCAACUGAUUUGUUCAGCAGUGGAAAAAAAAGCCUGUGAAGUACAUUCAGAGAAGGCUACAGCACAUACAUACUGUGUCAAUGAUAAACAGUUUGUUAGAAUGGGGCAUUUAUGUAAAGCUGUGUUGCGAGGGCUGUAGAGGGUUGUGGAUGAGCUCAAAGCUUGUGUUUUUUUAAUCCAGAACACAUCAAGUGUCAUUUAGUUUAUCCGUUAUUUGACUCUCUUUACUUUUGGUGGUCUUUGAUUAAAAACUCAUGUUUUUCUGCACUAUAUUGCUGUUCUUAUUAGUGAUGUUCAGGAAAUUGAAAGAAGGAAAAUAUAAAUGGUUACAUUGUAUUUAUUCUCUGAUAUCGCUGUUCAUUUUGUUUUUGGAGUGGCAGUAAGUUGUCAGUUUGUCAGUGAAAUGCUUCUUAAAAAAAAUUAAUUAAUUAUUUUUAAUGUUUUUAUAUCAGACAUGACAUCCUAAACAUUGUUACAUUUUAUUUUGGGUUGUUACAUUGAAUGGUUGUGAGAUGAAUUAUUAUUGAAUCUGUGAAUUAAAUUUCCAUUUAAGGACUAAAAUAAAUGUCUUAAAAUUCA